UACGUAGGGGGCAAGCGUUGUCCGGAUUCAUUGGGCGUAAAGAGCGUGUAGGCGGCCAUUCAGGUCAGCUGUGAAAACUCGAGGCUCAACCUCGAGACGUCGGUUGAAACCGUUUGGCUAGAGUCCGGAAGAGGAGAGUGGAAUUCCCGGUGUAGCGGUGAAAUGCGCAGAUAUCGGGAAGAACACCCGUGGCGAAGGCGGCUCUCUGGGACGGUACUGACGCUGAGACGCGAAAGCGUGGGGAGCGAACAGG
rnacentral:rRNA from 1 species